UACGUAGGGUCCAAGCGUUAUCCGGAAUCACUGGGCGUAAAGCGUGCGUAGGCGGCGUGUUAAGUGUGAUGUUAAAUCGUGUGGCUCAACCAUAUCGAUGCAUUGCAUACUGGCAUGCUAGAGGAAAGCAGAGGCAAGUGGAACUAGUAGUGUAGCAGUGAAAUGCGUAGAGAUUACUAAGAACACCAAUGGCGGAGGCAGCUUGCUGGGCUUUUUCUGACGCUGAGGUACGAAAGCGUGGGGAGCGAACAGG
rnacentral:rRNA from 1 species